rnacentral:tRNA from 1 species
GGGGAUGUAGCUCAGUUGGCUAGAGCGCUUACCUGGCAGUCAAGAGGUUGUGGGUUCGAACACCAUCUUCUCCACCA